rnacentral:rRNA from 1 species
UGCAGAAUCCCGUGAACCAUCGAGUCUUUGAACGCAAGUUGCGCCCGAGGGACCCUCCCGAGGGCACGCCUGCCUCAUGGGC